rnacentral:rRNA from 1 species
ACCCCUAGUAACGGCGAGUGAAGAGGGAAAAGCUCAAAUUUUAAAUCUACCUGGUUCGUCCCAGGUCGAGUUGUAAUUUGAAGAAGCGAUAUCGGUGUUGAGGUCUGGUUUAAGUUCUUUGGAACAAGACAUCAUGGAGGGUGAGAAUCCCGUGCAUGAUCAGACCAAGAUACUAAGUAUAUGCUUUCUAAGAGUCGAGUUGUUUGAGAAUGCAGCUCAAAAUGGGUGGUAGACUUCACCUAAGGCUAAAUAUCAGCGAGAGACCGAUAGCGAACAAGUACUGUGAAGGAAAGAUGAAAAGAACUUUGAAAAGAGAGUUAAAUAGUACGUGAAAUUGUUGAAAGGGAAACGAUUGAAGUCAGUCAUGCCAGUGAAAAUUCAGUUUGGCGGGUUUCUGGUUCGGAGUAGAGGCAGGGUCAAACCGUCUCUCUUUUGGACUUGGGAUUUGUCAGAUGCAUUUUUUCUCUUGCAGGUCAGCGUCGGUUUCGGGAGUUGUAAAAUACUUGGGGUAAAGUAGCUCUGCUUCGGGAGAGUGUUAUAGACCUUGGGGGAUGCAGCUCGCGGGAUCGAGGAUUGCAGCAAAUGCCUU